rnacentral:rRNA from 1 species
UACGAAGGGAGCUAGCGUUGUUCGGAAUCACUGGGCGUAAAGCGCACGUAGGCGGAUGUGUCAGUCAGGGGUGAAAUCCCGGAGCUCAACUUCGGAACUGCCUUUGAUACAGCACGUCUUGAGUCCGGAAGAGGUGGGUGGAAUUCCUAGUGUAGAGGUGAAAUGCGCAGAUAUCAGGAGGAACACCGAUGGCGAAGGCAGUGGUCUGGGCCGGAACUGACGCUGAAUAGCGAAAGCGUGGGUAGCGAACAGG